rnacentral:rRNA from 1 species
UACAGAGGGGGCAAGCGUUAUUCGGAAUUACUGGGCGUAAAGCGUGCGCAGGCGGCUUUGCAAGACAGAUGUGAAAUCCCCCGGGCUCAACCUGGGAACUGCAUUUGUGACUGCAUGGCUGGAGUGCGGCAGAGGGGGAUGGAAUUCCGCGUGUAGCAGUGAAAUGCGUAGAUAUGCGGAGGAACACCGAUGGCGAAGGCAAUCCCCUGGGCCUGCACUGACGCUCAUGCACGAAAGCGUGGGGAGCAAACAGG